rnacentral:sRNA from 1 species
AUAAAAUUAUACAUAUAUAUAAGGGUUUUACAAUUUUACAAUAAAAACGUUUUUUAUGUUUUGUAAAAAAAUUGAAAAAAAAAAAAAUUUAAAUGGACACUAGUAAAAAUGAAUACGAUCUAGGGAUCUGCGUGGGAUACAAAACACAAAAUGGAUUUACCAAUUUGAAACACUAAAAAGGGUCAUGCUAAAGACAUUGUUGUUGGUGGGAUUUAUAGCAACUACACCAUUUGUCUAAAUCCUACUUCUAUUAUUAUACAAAAAUCGAGGCUACUAGGACACGAGCAAGAUUUUGGGAAAGAUCGGGACUUAGGAAACUGUUGGCUUUUUUUGGAAGGCUCUAGCCAAAAAACAAACCAGCCAUCGGGGAUUGCAUGUUCAAUAAUUUACAUAUUACAGAUACUAAAACUACACAAAGGUACUAGGCCACAAGGACACGAAAAGCCACGACACUAUUUAAUUCAAUUACCACUCUGUGAUACUUAAACAAACUGGAGGUACUGAGUAAAAAUACUAAGGACACGAGGAGCCACGCCAGUUUUCAACACAAUUAAAAUUAAGAUUACAGUUGCGGUUAUCGUAUAGACAUCAAGCUCUUUUAGACUCAAAAGAAAACCAAGUUUCGCCAUACACUCGCCACACUUUAAGACGCGAAUCUCUACACUCCACACUAUGAAUCGACAGACACUAUUAAUCCACACACACUCUAUGAAUCUACACACUCUUUGAAUCUACACACACUCUAUUAAUCUACACGCUCUACACUAUUUAAUAUUGGAAGUUUAUACCUUAAUUAUUUUGAUACAGAAAAAAAUUAAAUUCCUAGUCA